GACGAACGCUGGCGGCGCGCCUAACACAUGCAAGUCGAACGGAGCUUAGAGAGUUUGCUUUUUAAGCUUAGUGGCGAACGGGUGAGUAACGCGUGAGUAACCUGCCCUAGAGUGGGGGACAACAGUUGGAAACGACUGCUAAUACCGCAUAAGCCCACGGUACCGCAUGGUACUGAGGGAAAAGGAUUUAUUCGCUUUAGGAUGGACUCGCGUCCAAUUAGCUAGUUGGUGAGGUAACGGCCCACCAAGGCGACGAUUGGUAGCCGGACUGAGAGGUUGAACGGCCACAUUGGGACUGAGACACGGCCCAGACUCCUACGGGAGGCAGCAGUGGGGAUAUUGGGCAAUGGGCGAAAGCCUGACCCAGCAACGCCGCGUGAAGGAAG
rnacentral:rRNA from 1 species